UGCGUAGGCGGGCUAAUAAGUCAGUGGUGAAAUCUCUCGGCUCAACCGGGAAACUGCCAUUGAUACUGUUAGUCUUGAGUUCGGUUGAGGUAGGCGGAAUGUGUAAUGUAGCGGUGAAAUGCUUAGAUAUUACACAGAACGCCAAUUGCGUAGGCAGCUUACUAGACCGACACUGACGCUGAGGCACGAAAGCGUGGGGAGCGAACAGGAUUAGAUACCCUGGUAGUCC
rnacentral:rRNA from 1 species